rnacentral:tRNA from 1 species
UGUAAAAUAAGCUAAAUGUUAAGCUGUUGGGUUCAUACCCCAAAAAUGAGGAGUCCUCUUUUACAG